ensembl:lncRNA
CUGCCCCGGCCACAGAGACUGAACUUUCGUAGACCACAGUUCACGAUAGAACUUUCACCCAGCUCGUCGUCAGUGGCUUCAGCAGAGGCAGCAGCAGCAGCAGAGACGGAGGCGGAGGAGGCUGCAGCAACAGCGCCAUCAUCAGCAGCGGCAUCACCGCCGACACCUCCACCGGCGGCAGCGACGCCCUCAAUAUCUGCCGUAUGGUCCGUCGCACCGCGCAAUCCGUGUGUGGCCCCGAACACGGACGAGGUGGAGUUCUCCCAGAGGAACCUGGAGGAGCUGGUGCAGCAGGAGGCGAGAGAGCCGUGGUCCCGGAUGCAGAGGGACGUGAGGCACGUUCCCUUAACGCCCAUCAGCACCACCAGGUUGAGGACAGCGGUGCAGAC